rnacentral:misc_RNA from 1 species
GAUGAAGAACGCAGCGAAAUGCGAUAAGUAAUGUGAAUUGCAGAAUUCAGUGAAUCAUCGAAUCUUUGAACGCACCUUGCGCCCUUUGGCUAUUCCGAAGGGCAUGCCUGUUUGAGUAUCGUGAACACCUCAACUCUCAUGGUUUGCCAUGAUGAGCUUGGACUCUGGGGGUUUUGCUGGCUCACAGUCGGCUCCUCUAAAAUGAAUCAGCUUACCAGUGUUUGGUGGGUAUCAUGGGUGUGAUAACUAUCUACGCUUGUGGUUUUUCCACCAGGUAACCUUCAGCAGUGGAGGUUCGCUGGAGCUCAUAGAUGUCUCUCCUCAGUGAGGACAGCCCUUUGAAUGUUUGAUCUCAAAUCAGGUAGGACUACCCGCUGAACUUAAGCAUAUCAAUAAGCGGAGGA